UUGCCAGGGGUCACUGGAGUCUCCUGAUCUUUUGUCACCUUGAUGAAAGUUUACAAUCUAAAGCAAGAAGUCCUUGCAUGUUGUUGCUUGAUUCUUUGCAGAUGGCAAAUCCUGAGAGACUUGAACCUGGGAUCAGAAAGUAUUUCUUUCUCUUUGUUCUGAUUCUUUGCAGAUGGCAAAUCCUGAGAGACUUGAACCUGGGAUCAGAAAGUAUUUCUUUCUCUCAGCCUACUGUUCCAUUCUGGGCUUACUUUGAAAUUAUAAUCCAUUAAGAUAGCAGUGUUUCCGUUGCAGAUUUGUUAUAGACAUAUUCAAAGCAGAGCACAGGCCAGAAAUCAAGGACC
rnacentral:lncRNA from 1 species